GAACCAGGCAGGAUUGGGCUGUAGUCUGAGGGCUGAGAUGAAGCUGGCUGAUGAGAUCUCUCAUGGCCAGGAAUUGGUUCAGAGAACACGUACAGGUCAGUUGGUGAAUUAGGCAACAUUCUGAAGGACGCCAUCCUCGAACUGCUGAAGUUGGAUAGUGUACUGUGAAUGACGUAUCCCUGUCUCAUUUCCACUUUCACAUAUUGCAUUGAAUGAGGCAGUGCUCCUCAUGGGCCUGGGUUCCAAAUGACCCCUGCUUCAUUCCACACAAAUCCUGAAGUAUCAUACCUUGCAUGGGAAGAAAAGGACUACAAGUAAAAGAAGAAUUGCAGAGCUACUUCAUGUAAAUAGGUGA